UUUCAAUUAGUGAAUUAUCACUGAACUUUUUCAACUUUUGAUCCGUAAAACUGGUGCGCUUUCUUGAUGACUAAACUCGUUUGAACCUUGCUCCGAUUGUUUACACGCAUGGCGGCAGCAGAUUCAUGUGAAUGUGUGGUGCUCAGCCUGCGACUAGUGAGCCAGAUGUAGCCUGCUGACUGUUGAUAUGACACAAGGGAAAGCUUCUAAACACAAUAAAUCCAUUGAAGAGGACAUUAUAGGAGCCAAUAAACUGACAGCAUGGACAGAAGGGUGUGAGAAUUAUGAUGUUAGAAUUAGCAGGAAGUGCAGCAAAGCUUUAUUAUAAGGAGGCCAUAACGGCAGAAAUGUAGAUAUUGAAAAUGAGGAAGAAAAAAUAUUGUAUUAUUAGUUGCAUUGUAUUUUUCUAAAUAAAUGUCUUUUUUUUA
rnacentral:lncRNA from 1 species